rnacentral:rRNA from 1 species
UACGAAGGGGGCUAGCGUUGCUCGGAAUGACUGGGCGUAAAGGGCGCGUAGGCGGAUGGCACAGUCAGAUGUGAAAUUCCCGGGCUUAACCUGGGGGCUGCAUUUGAUACGUGUGAUCUAGAGUGAGGAAGAGGGUCGUGGAAUUCCCAGUGUAGAGGUGAAAUUCGUAGAUAUUGGGAAGAACACCGGUGGCGAAGGCGGCGACCUGGUCCUUGUCUGACGCUGAGGCGCGAAAGCGUGGUGAGCAAACAGG